AGAUGCAGCCACAAGCAGUUGGUGGGAAACUAGGCCUCAAAGCAGAAAAUGAAAAGUCGAUGGGGGAAGAUUUUUUUUUUUAAAUAAGUGGGUCAGAGGGACGGAGCGGAGAUGAGGCGAUCAAUCUUAGCCCCCUGACAGCUCCCUCCGAUUGCAUCAAAGAAUUUGGCUCUUUGGGAAGCAGCAGAAGGAGCAGCCGAAAUUCCACAUCCCCUAAAAAGGCCUGAGGGAAAGGUGAUUCGGAGAGAGCCAGGAAACAGAUGGGAAAUGGGGACCCAGGGAAGGCGCUGAGUUGGGUGGAAAGUUUGCCCGGAGAACUCCCACGGCCGGGCCUCCCCUCCCCCUCUCCGGCUCCCUGUCGCCCAGCCCGGAGGAAAAGGCUGCUUAGCGGAGAAAUGACAUCUCAGCCCGGAGCUGGAGGAGCUAGAAACUUUCUGUCAGUGUAACAUCCGCGUGGGUGGUGCGAAUUAGCUCCAUAUUUCAGCCACUCUGUCGCCUGGCUCUUAUCGGCUCCAGCGACACGGUGGUGACAUUCAUCUCUGACAGACCCGCUCUAUCCUCGCUCCAAUGCGAUGAAACUUUUAUGGAACUGAGAACCCAAUGGUGGUUGGGCUUCAGGUCACGUGAUGACUCCUUUGUCGCUCCGGAAGCGACCUGUGAAGUUUAGGUGCCUUAGAAGAAGCAGCCAUCAGCCAGGGGAAAGAGGGGGAAAUACCAGGAGUUGGGGGAAUAACCCAGAGAGAUGGAAGAGCUCCACAGCCGCCCCCCUGCUCACCCCUGCCCCUGGCAGCCCCGUCCCAUCACAGGUGUGUUAACUUGGGCGCUUCUUGGAUUCUACCCUGAGGAGCAGGCGCGUGGUGAGAGGAGAGGUCUGUGUAGGUGGGGUGCGGGUCGCAGGGUCCGUGGUGCUGGCUGGGGGCCAUCGGGGGUGCCCCGUUGUAGUCCAGGUUCCCCGGGGGGUGGUGGGAGAGGUGGUUGAGGCCGUAGAGGGAGGGCCCGGCAGGGGGCGGCAGCGGCUCCCCGUAGCCGCCCCCGCCCACGUACACCGGGCUGCCCUGCAAGGCGGGCGUGGCGUAGGCGCCCCCGUUGGCCUGCAGCACGUGGGGCUCGUACUCGGGCGCCGGGGUCGGGGCGUACUUCUGCGGGGCGCCGCAGCCCUUGAGCGGCGGCUGGUAGUUGGAGGGCAGCGCGUAGGCAUUCUGGUGGGCUUUGCCGAAGGCGGGCGGGGACGGGCUGUCGUAGCUGGGGGUCAUGGAGUGCAAGGCGUUCAUGAAGCCGGCUGUGGACUGCAUGGGCUGCGGGGGGCUGCCGGCCGGAGAGGGACCCCCGGACGACGAGGCCAGCCCUUUGGCCUUCUGGUCCUUCUUGUACUUCAUGCGCCGGUUCUGGAACCAGAUCUUGAUCUGGCGCUCGCUGAGGUUCAGCAGGUUGGCCAUCUCCACGCGGCGCGGCCGGCACAGGUAGCGGUUGAAGUGGAACUCCUUCUCCAGCUCCACCAGCUGCGCGCUCGUGUACGCCGUGCGCGCGCGCUUGGACGCCGCCGAGCCCGGGGGGCUGCGGUCCCCGCCCCCGCCCCCACCGCCGCUGCUCCCUCCGCCGCCGCCGCCUACGCCUCCUCCGCCGCCGCCGCCGCCGCAGCCCUCUGCUGGAUCCGAGGGGGGAGGGGUGGGAAGGGGAGAAAAUGAAAUAAAAGAUAAUUACUGAACACGCCGAAAU